rnacentral:tRNA from 1 species
GCCGGAGUGGUGAAACUGGUAGACGCAGGGGACUCAAAAUCCCCCGGGGCUUGGCUCCGUGCCGGUUCGAGUCCGGCCUCCGGCACUA